CACGUAGGGUGCGAGCGUUGUCCGGAAUUAUUGGGCGUAAAGAGCUCGUAGGCGGUGUGUCGCGUCGGCCGUGAAAACCUGCAGCUUAACUGUGGGCGUGCGGUCGAUACGGGCAUCACUGGAGUUCGGCAGGGGAGACUGGAAUUCCUGGUGUAGCGGUGAAAUGCGCAGAUAUCAGGAGGAACACCGGUGGCGAAGGCGGCUCACUGGACAGGUACUGACACUCAACUACGAAAGCGUGGGGAGCAAACAGG
rnacentral:rRNA from 1 species